ensembl:lncRNA
CAACGCAGAGGCCCCAACUCCCAUUGAUUCUGGUUCAGAUGAUCGGGAGUGGGACCCAGGUGAAAAAGCAAUUUGUUGGCCAGAAACCUCAGCCUUUAAGAAUGAUGGGUGAAAUAACAUUCUUAAUACAUUCCUAGUGAAUCCAGUGGAUUAGAAAAUUAUAGAAGACCUUUGCUGUAUAUUUAAAAAGUUUUUACUUUCUUGGGCUCAGAGCAUGCAGGAUAGUGGUAGUUCCUCAGCUAGGGAUCAAACCCACAUCCCCUGCGUCGGAAGCACAGUGUCUUG